AUUCAUUAUUUGCGAAAUAGUUAAUGUUUCGGCAUCGAUGGAACAUUACAUUCAACCCCUUAUAUUUUUGUAGUAUCGCAAGUAUAUUAUAAUUGAGAUAUGGAAAAAAUAUACACAAUAAUAUACACCACCCUUUAUUUUCGCAAAUAUCAAAUUCAUUGAAUUUAAACGAUGAAAAAUUUGUAAAAGGAAAUUCCGAUCAUCACCUCAAUAUGUCUGUGUGUGUGAGUGUAAAAUGACUCAGAUGAUUAGCCAACAAGAUCCCCAGAAAUUAUCAAAAAUCAUCGACCAUCCCUAUUAUUAUUUAUUAUUUACAUAACUAUUGAUCGAAUACUUAGUAGAUUAUUCAUGCUCCAAUAAACCGGGAACAAGGGGAUACCCUGUCGAUCAGAAGGAUCCAAUGCUAAAUGAGAAACCACAGAACCUUAAAUUUAUUUUUAAGAAUUUUGUAGCAUCUUUAACACGCCCUCUUAGAGCACGAACUCUCCCACGCCCUAUGUUUUCGACGAUGCAUCAUCAAUAGAAAUUAAUAAAGUUCAAGUCUCAUUCUAACAAUCCCCAGGAACAAUGUCCACCAAUCUCCGAGCUUGAUGUAGAGUGUAAAAAUAUCAAGUAUCAUUUUACCAAAACUAGAAAGAGAAUUAUUAUUGUGAACCAUUAUUGCAUUCAUGUUUACAACUGAUUCACAACUUUUCAAUCCCCCUCCAAUCCAGCAAAAUGACAAAAUUUUGUGUUAAAAAAUAUUUUUUUUCUCUUUAAGUAAGUACAUGUUGAGUAUAGAAUAUUAUGAAGAUACUGUACAUACAACAGUAUAAUUUGACUAUGCUGUCCUAACCUAACACCAAAAUCUUCAUAAAUAUUCUCUUUUGUAUAGUGUUGUGUGAUUAAGGUGAAAUCGGAAUCUUUCCUUCAGCGCAGGAGAACAGCCAUGAUAUUUUACUAAAGCCACUUUCACUUAACUAUAUGAUUGUAGGUAUAUUUUUUUUUCAAUACAUAGGUAGGUUCUUAGAUAUUCAAUUCACCACAACUCUCAUCCUCUUUCUCUGAUUCACGCCACUCUAAUAAACAUCAAGGCCUUCUUCCUCCCCACUGAUUAAUCAAUAAAAUAUCAUGUAUCUAAUUAUUAAUUUUCUUUUCUAUCACUUACCUACCUAAAUUGAAAAGAAAAUACAUCUAGUUUAUUUACACUUCGAUCAGAAUGUGUUUUUGGUGUAAAGUGUAUUUGUUUUCCGUCAUGAUCAACUUUUGUUAUGUAGAUAUUUUUCUAAGCAAAUUGUUUCAAAGUAAUUGUUUUUUUUUUUUUGUGUAAAGUGUAGUGUGUCGUGUGGAGUCUGUAAAAGGUACUUUGUAAAAACAUCUAUAGCCUGUAUAGACGUCUCAUGUGUUAAUGCGUGCAUAGCUAACUUCAAUAAUAAAUCGACUAAAGCGUUUGUACCACGUUUGUGCCCGAGUAGAACCGCCUUUCUUCGCCAAUUUACUACAAAAGCAAGACUAAGAGUGUAUGGUGUGUAAAUUACUUGAACCAAUUUGCACACUACUAACUGACGGUCCGAUAUUAUACCCAUAUUAGGGUCGGAUGGCCGUGUGUGAGAUGUCCCCACAUAUUAUUAAGUUAGUAGUUUUAAAAUGAAGUUAACUAUCUUUUAUAAAAAAAAAAAUUCUUUUAAGAUUUUACUCAAUAUAUUUUUUUUUUUAAAUUUUAUUUAACAUAAGUAGCAAUAAUUCUUGUAUCUACACUAGUUGAUCAUUUGGAAAAUAUUUGUGAAAUAAAGGUAACUUUUGGAAUAAGUUUAUUUUUUUAGCUAAAUAAGUACCUAUAUAAUAGGUAACUACUCAAUCAAGUCUUACAGAAACAAUAUACCAAAGUUUCCCUUAUAAAUGUGUGUGUGUGUGUCUGAACGAAGUAUCAAUAAACCCUUCAUUUCCCAGUUGUAUUUGUCAUGAUUAUAAAUCCCACUCAAUAUUAAAUAAGUAAAACUUCAUUCUUCAUCAUCCUUUAAUCAACUAUGUAAGACCUGGCCAGGUACCUUUAACAUUCUUAUCAUUCAGACUUUAAAAUGACGUUUAAAGUAGUUUUCUUCCUUCCACAUUCUUUGCCCUUUCAAUUUUUCGAAACAUUAUAAUCACGACAUAAUCCCCAGGAAAUGGCAAUGUAAAUACCCUACCCUUUUGUUUUCUCUGUAAAAGAAAAUUAUAUCAGAUCAAUUUUACCAAAAUUGAAAGUUCCUACUCUCAUGUAACAGACAAAUCCACCCCAAUAUUCCAUCGAUACCAAAACAUUAAAAUACCGCCAUCUAGUUUUUUUUUCUACAACCUAUUACACUAAUACACUAUUUAUUUUAUCAAAUAUGUCUAACUACUUCUUCUACUUCUACCAUUUUCUACCCUCAGUAACUACCUAAGUCGAAAAUAAUGUUACUAGGUAACUAAAAAUAUUUCUGAGAUAUUACAACUCUCCUUCACAACACAACCCCUAUUUGAAAAACACGGUCUCCAUUAUCCUUAUUCUAGGCUGUUUGUGUAAAUGUGCCUUACCUGUCUAACUGUCAAAUUUAUUAAAACUAAACUGUCAAUGUCAACCUGACAUAACCUUAACCUGUUUGGCUGUUUUUUUUUCCGCACUAAUCAAAAGAAAAGCAUGCGUCGUUGUGUUCAACAACAUCGAUCGCACGAAGAAAUCUAAUGUUUACCCGAUUAAACUUACGAAACUCUAAAAUAAUGAGUGAAUCUUACAGGACCAAACAUAACAAUGCAAACCCAACUACACUCUUUGUUGAACUAAAACCCAUGAUAAACCACUGAUCAAACCAUCCACUGUGACAAAACAUUCACAAUCCCUCACUAAUUAUAUACCAAAGUUACUAUUCUACAAUAAGAUAUGACAUACUUUUUGAAUGCUGAUGAUGAUGAUGAUGUUCUUUAUUUGACAACCAAACUCUGAGAUUAUAUACUAUGAAGUAAACAUCCUGACUCAGAUGAAGAAGUGAAUUGCAACCACGCUCAAAAUAGGAACAACUAAACUACCCACAUAGUUCUUAACUUACAAACAAUAUAUUGAUACUAAAUGAGGUCCUAGCCUACUUCACCUGGUCUAACACUUAAUGAACAACAAUAACUUGCUCUACAUUAAUUGUUUUCUAAAUUUAUUGUUAUGUCUGACCGCUACGCUAUCAUCACUAAAUAUUUUUUAUUAUUUUUUUCUUUCAAAUGAGAUUAAUGUUAUAUUUUCUUUUCUUUAUUAACUGUAACUCAUUGUAUUUGUUUAGGAAAAUGUCUGAUAACAUCUGUUACUAAUUGGCUCUCUGGAAUCUGAUAAUUAGACAUUUGGACAUUUCCGAUUAAUCUAAGUUAGCAUAGGUGGUGUUACAGUUCUAUGCCAACUCCUAUGAUCAAUAUUUUAUAAUAUAUCUACUUUUCCAAACAUUCAAGUAUAAUAAUUUAAGAGCCUAGUUUUUAAACACCUAGUCGAUGACAAGCAAAGAUCUGAUCCAGAAGCACAAUCAACCACAUCAACAAACCAAAGAACCCGCACAACAUAACCCAUACAACCAAUACCAAACUGAACCAACCCAGCCAAAAGGAUGAUUAAUAAUUAUAGACUAGUUGCUAUAACUACCGAUCCCCCCGCAACCAGGCCAGUCCAGCCCGGAACCAACCAUACAAGCUCCGCCACGCAAACUCCUCGAUCCACCGAUGCAGCCGACCGCACCUCCAGACCAAAAUCCCCACCCCUCAUCUACCUGGGCCAGAAUUUCUUUAUCUAUUCUAAUCAUUUCAGGUUGUUCAUAAGGACUAAAAUGCGCCGCGUUUUCGUUACAUUUGUUUUUUUUUUUUUAAAUAUAAUUUUUGAUUUUAAUAAAUGUUUUACUGCUUUUACCUAAAAUAAAACCAUAUCAUUAUUUUACCUACAACCCCUAUUCACUUAAAAUUCCCUAAUCAGCUACAUAAUCAGAGAGACCGUUCAUAGUGAUUCAGAGCAACACUAAUAUGACGUACCUAUAGAUAAAUCAGCCUUUAUACAAUUAUGUUUUAUGUUAAUCUCUUUAAAGGUAAGUAACUUAUUAAAUUUCAUAAAUAAUGUCCUGAAUAAGAAUCCAUUAUAUCCAACCCCUGAUGAUGAUUAUUAUUGUUUCCUCUCACUCCACAAGGAGCUUAGUCUUAUACAACCCCUAAUCUUUUAUAAUUCUGUAAUGAAAUACAUAACAUUACUACAACCCCUCCUUAUUAAGUAAAAUUUAAUAAAUGAAUUAUUUUCAUUUUCCUCAUCCUAACUUUAUUAACUACCUACCUAGCUAUCUUCUCAAAUUCUUUCCUAUUACGUACCGUUCCAAUACAAAACCUAGCCUCUUGCGCUUCCUAUUUCAUGAUAAAUAAUUCUUUCGUUUAUAAGUUCGAUCACUCCACGGCAACAAAUUGUGAUUAUAUCAAGGAUAUAAUCACUUUCCUACCCCUAGUAUGUAACAAAUCAUUACGAACAAAACGCAGAGAGACUUAUUAUAACGUAAACAUGUUGAGAGUAUUAGUAAAGUGAGAAAUUAUAACUUGCAGUGAUUUUGUGAAUGUAAAAUAAUGCAGACUGCCAAAAUAUUAUACUAGUCUGUGACGCAAUAAAAGUUACUCUGUUAAAAAAAAUAACCUUCUGUCUUUUUGUUGUUUGUGGUGCAAUGCUGCAUAAAGUUUUUCGAACUAAAAACAAACUUUUGAAACUUUCUUCUAUCCAUAAAAUUAAAAGAAAUGCCUUUAUGUGAAAACCGCCAUAUUGAGUAAAUAGUUACUUACUUAUCGCAAAGGCAAACAAAAAAACCUUAAUGUUUUUUCGAGACAAACAUAAAAGAACAGAAAACUAGCUGCCUGACAUCUAACAUGAAGAGAUGAAGCAAAUUCCCUAAUAUCCUGGUCUUUCGGUACCAAAUUGUAACGUUUCGCCCUACCUCCUGCCUAUUUAACUCCUACCUAAAGGAUUUACUAGAAGAUAUUUGAAAACACCUAACAAAACUAAGUUGAGUGAAAUAAAAGUGAAACAAAUACUGCUUUGAAUUGGCCAUGAAACAUCCAGGGAAACCCUACGUUGUGUUGUAACCCAAUAAACGAAAGAUAGUGCAUUAAAUAAAACUAUG